UAGGGAAUCUUCGGCAAUGGGGGGAACCCUGACCGAGCAACGCCGCGUGAGUGAAGAAGGUUUUCGGAUCGUAAAGCUCUGUUGUUAAGGAAGAACGAGUGUGAGAAUGGAAAGUUCAUACUGUGACGGUACUUAACCAGAAAGGGACGGCUAACUACGUGCCAGCAGCCGCGGUAAUACGUAGGUCCCGAGCGUUGUCCGGAUUUAUUGGGCGUAAAGCGAGCGCAGGCGGUUAGAUAAGUCUGAAGUUAAAGGCAGUGGCUCAACCAUUGUAGGCUUUGGAAACUGUUUAACUUGAGUGCAGAAGGGGAGAGUGGAAUUCCAUGUUUAGCGGUGAAAUGCGUAGAUAUAUGGAGGAACACCGGUGGCGAAAGCGGCUCUCUGGUCUGUAACUGGCGCUGAGGCUCGAAAGCGUGGGGAGCGAACAGG
rnacentral:rRNA from 1 species